rnacentral:rRNA from 1 species
UACGUAGGGUGCAAGCGUUGUCCGGAAUUAUUGGGCGUAAAGAGCUCGUAGGCGGUUUGUCGCGUCUGCUGUGAAAACUCGGGGCUUAACCCCGGGCCUGCAGUGGGUACGGGCAGACUAGAGUGCGGUAGGGGAGACUGGAAUUCCUGGUGUAGCGGUGAAAUGCGCAGAUAUCAGGAGGAACACCGGUGGCGAAGGCGGGUCUCUGGGCCGUAGCUGACGCUGAGGAGCGAAAGCGUGGGGAGCAAACAGG